GUUUUCCCCUCGCCCGCGCUGGCUUUGACCUCGGGAGCGUGCGUGGAUGCUCUGCGGGUGUGCUAAUGGAUUAACCAGGCCAUAGAGGAAAAUCAACUCGGGUGUUUCAAGCAAAAGGAAUGAAGGAAGCUCAGUUGAGCCUCUUGGUGCUUCUUGAGCAGGAUAAAGCUUCCAGCCUGCAUUCCCAGGCUGAGGGUGAAGAGUCACUCUAGGCAGGAAUUUUCCACUUAAUUUUUCUUUUUGAUGGAAAAUGUCAGUGUAAUUGAAUUUUUUUUUUUUUUUAAACUUUGACAGGCCUGUGCUCAAACCACUUCAGAGAGCUCUCGGGGCUCCUUGCAGACGCGGCGAGUUCCUGCAGCUUCAGCUCCUGCAUUGCCCACGUCCAAAUCUGGGCCUUUGAAAGGACAGCAUAGCCUCAUGCCAGAGACCUGGGGGACAGAGUUGCUGCCUCCUGGUGAAGGAGAAGAGCCAGGAGACCUACUGGAGCAGCAGAUCAAUGUAGAGAUCAGCGAGCAAUGUGAGAGGCCUUGGGCUCAGCGUGUGUGCUCCGCAGAGCUCAGCUGCACCUUGAGAAGCAUCCAGACCAUGGGAGAGGUAAUUCCUGGGCUCAUGGAGCUGUUUGGGACUGACAUGGCCUCGCUGGGCAUCACCGUACCCCAUCCAUCUCCCAUCCAGCCUGCCCUGCCACCCCAAGCAGAGGGAGCAGGACUCCACGCGAAGCCGCUGGAGAUGGGCAGGUCUUCAGGAACUUUGCAGCUCCUCCCCAAGCCCCCGUGUCCUUCCUCUUCGCCCCCCUCUCCCUCGGUGGGGACCUAGUUUGCCUUGCAAAGUGGUCUCAUUAUAAAUGCAUCAGCCUCUGCCGGUCUCACGCGCGCUGCCUUCAUUUAGCCCUCCGAGCUCGAUUACAUCUGAGGAUGUCUUGGGGUAAUUAAGUAAUAUUAGAACAUUUUCUUUUCUAUUUUUUUCCCCUUCCCUAAUGCAGCUUUCAAAGCACAAGCCUCGGUUCUCACCCACCGGAGCCCACUUUGCCGAGCCUCUGAAUUCUCCCUAAUGUACCUUGCCAUGAAUGAAGGCUAAUUACAUUUCUGAAAGAUGUCAUUAGUGUCAUAUUCAUGCUGGGUUUCAGAGAGCUAGCACGCGGCAGGGAAUGCUCCCUUAGGUGUCUCUCAGCCUUACUGUACUGCGAGGAGCGGCCGGGCUCUCUGGCCCAUACGGGGAUGCUCAGCCGGCAGCGGCUGAGCUUGGUGGAGAGCAUCUCUUCCCAUGGAUGUUUUGCAUCCUUCAUCUCUGGAGCUCAUCAGGGUUUACAAAUAUUAACUAAUUAAGCCUCUCAGAGCUCCUGUGAGAUAAGUAAUUGCUACUCUGAUGAUUGGCGUUGUAGCCACUCUCUUCUCCAGGCGUUGGACAGUGCUUUUUACUGUAGAGUAGCAAGGCGGCAAUUCUGAAGCAUACAAUAAGAUAAAUGAUACUUGUGGAUGAUCUGGCCGUCUGACCUGCAGGUUGGGGGCCAGAAACCCAGAGCCACCAUAAGAGAUACCCUUAACCUUGCUUUUGAAGCCCGCUGUCCAUAUUCUUCCCUCUUAUGUUUGCACAAACCCACCUGAGCCCUACCGACUUCAGCACAGGCUCCUUGGAGACUUUCCCAGAGGGAAGAGGACCCCGAGUUUAUCUACUUGGGUAGCUCAUUGUUUGCAUCAUGGAUGGGACGUUGGUUCCCAAGGAAACUAAAAGAUGGUGGUCACCAUUUUAUUUUUCUCUCCCAAAACUGUCACAGGGAUGAUAUUCUGCUUUUACACUGCCUCUGCUCUCCUGUUCAGCCCGGUGUGAGGUGGCCACCAGGCUCCCCCAGAUGAGUACUGCUUUCAGGGGGUAUUAGGUGCUGGUAACAAGAAGUCACACAUGGCAUUUUCAUGGUAAUUUUUCCUUAGAUCAGUUAAUGUUGUACUGUGUUGCAUUUUGUUGUCCUGGAGAGAUGUCAUCUCUGUUAGCAGGGAUGGAGUCUGCUGCCUCUGAAAGAGGACAACUCUCCCAGGCAGUCCUGACUCCUGACAAGUGCCUGAUUCCCCUCUUCUCCCUCCUCCAAGGCAUUUUGGAGCACUGCUGUAAGCAGGAUAGUGUCAGGGAUGCUGCUGCCGUGGCCAAAAACUUUUUUUUUUUCUUUUCUGGUUUUGUUUGAUUACUUUUUCCCCUUCAAUAUUUGAAGGGGUAACACCUUCAGGCUUCACCCCCUGCACUUGGGUAUGGGCUCUGCAGUCUUUUUAGGUUGGGCUCGGCUCUGUAGCACUGUCUGAUUCGGGGUGUUGGGUGGGCAGCUGCUUUUGGAGGCAUUACAUCCGAGGCUGGGGCUGCGGAGCCAACUUUGCCCUUGGGUACCUCUGCAGGGACAGGCCGAGAGAUUGGCUUCUCUGAUUCACGCAUCGGUGUGAAAUUAAAGGCAUUUUGGAAAAAGGCUGCACUAGCAAAGCUGAGCUGCCCUGGGAAAUGGGAGGUGGAGAAGUUAAUUGUCCGAGGUGUGGGAAUCCCAGGCUUUCCCACGGGCUCUGCCUUUCCAGCCCCGGCCAAGCUGCCAGCUCACCCCGCUGCAGAGGGAGAUGAGCGGUAAUUGCCAGGCUGGGCUUAAUUUUGGGGGCGAAGGCAGGGUCUGGGCUGCGAGACGGCCGCAGGGCUGGGGAGAAACUUGGGCUCUUACCAGUCAGAUAGGUAGGAGAAUCCUAAAAGAGCUACUUGUGUGUGGCAUGCUGUGAGAUAAGCCCAGAAACCUGCCCUGAGCCAGUCCCAGGUCAGGGAACCACAGCCUCUGGUAGCUGUUGAGGGUUGAGGCCGAGGAGAAAAAGCUGCAGAAAGUUUUCUGAGUGUAUUGAAAUCAUGUGGGGCUGCCAGGACUCUAACGACACAUUCUGUAGAUGAGGGAACCUAGUAAUUAUAGCUAAUAAGUCCAAAAUGUGUAAUUACCCUGCAAGCACUUGGAGCUGGAAGACAGAAAUGAGCGUGGUCGUUACACCCUCGUUAGGUGAUCUAUCACUUCCCCCUUGCCAUGGACAAAAUCCAGGAGGGGCAGAAGGAGCAGCUGCUCUUUUCCCCAGCCUCCAUCCUUGCUGGUGCUGGAGGGAGCCAGCUUCUCUUCCUGCAUCCGUUGCCCAGCCAAAACAGUCCCAAAAUCCAGCUUUCUUUCCUUAAAUAACACUAUUCCUGGUCAGAUUCUAGAUCUGUGGUGGGUGGCUCUUCAGGAGAGGUUGUGUUUGUUUUUUUUCCCCCUGCUAGUUUAUUUUCCUUCCUAAUUAGAGCAGCUCUUUCAUCAGUCCCUGCAUUUCUUUCCACCCUCCAGUUUUCCCAAAGAGGCUUAGUAACAUUUCCUGCCUCUGAUCAAUACACCAUUUAUAUGCGAUAACUUUGUCAGGAGAACAGGGAAGCAGCUCGCCGAGUUCCUCCUGUAAUUUCAGCGUGCCGUAGCCGUUGGCUGAAGGUCAACGCGAGCCUGACUGUGACUGAUUUUUACUGUCUUUGGGCAACCCGUCAGCAAAAUGCAAGCUUUGUAAAACCUCGGCUAGGUGCAGGCUGCCAAGCACCCCGUGAGGCUGGCUUCCUCAGCAGCACCACGCACAGUAAGGCUUCACCUCGUGCCUGCACUGCCCUCCUUGCUGUAAGGAGGGGACCCCACUGCUCCACGGGGUGUGAUAGAUGUCCUGACAGGUGCUGUUUUCCCCGGUAAUAGAGGUGGUGGGUGCUUUGGUAGGAAGCGAAGCCGGUUCCUGCUCAGUGAGUGUGAGGAGCAGCUCCAUCAGGUGCCCCUGGGGAGCGCGAGACAAUUCCGGGGAGGGGACUGUGUGCUGGAGGAGCGGGCACCUCGCUUAACCUGCCUCCUCGUGCUCAUCUGUCUCCUGUCACUUGUCAUCCUGCUGGCACCUCUUCAUCAUCGCUCCAGCUGCGGCAGUGCCAGAGCAGCUCCUGCUGGGAGGAA
ensembl:lncRNA